rnacentral:rRNA from 1 species
GAUGAACGCUAGCGGCAGGCUUAAUACAUGCAAGUCGAGGGGUAGCAAGAUUGUAGCAAUACAAUUGUUGACGACCGGCAAACGGGUGCGGAACACGUACACAACCUUCCUACAAGUGGGGAAUAGCCCAGAGAAAUUUGGAUUAAUACCCCGUAACAUAGCGAUGUGGCAUCACAUUGCUAUUAUAGCUUCGGCGCUUGUUGAUGGGUGUGCGGCUGAUUAGAUAGUUGGCGGGGUAACGGCCAACCAAGUCUACGAUCAGUAGCUGAUGUGAAAGCAUGAUCAGCCACACGGGCACUGAGACACGGGCCCGACUCCUACGGGAGGCAGCAGUAAGGAAUAUUGGACAAUGGACGCAAGUCUGAUCCAGCCAGGCCGCGUGAAGGAUUAAGGUCCUCUGGAUUGUAAACUUCUUUUAUAAGGGACGAAAAAAGGUCUUUCUAGAUCGUCUGACGGUACCUUAUGAAUAAGCACCGGCUAACUCCGUGCCAGCCGCCGCCGUAACAC